GGGUAAUACACUUUUAAGAGUGGGAACUGAAGUUCUUGGAAAUGAAGAUGAAGGGAGUGGAGAGUGAAGAAUGUGUUCCCCAGAAAAGCAUCUUAAGAGAGUCUGAAGCUUGGAUGUGAGCAGCCCAAAUCAGGCCUGAUGCUGUGCACCUGCUCAGCUUUGCACCAGGGAAAGCUGCUGGCUUAUCACCACCUCAGGCUUUCUCCCAUUCCACAUCUUCCAGAAAUCCCCGGCUCCAAAAACUCAGUUUUCAAUUCAUGUGGCAGGUAGAAGAGCCAGACUACAAGUACAGUAAAAAUAUCAUGAGGAUUUUCACUGGCAAAAUGCAAAUAUAAAAAAGUAACAACAUGCCCUUCAUCCACUAAUUUUAUAAUUCUUCUGAGACAAGCGAUAAAGUUUUUUU
rnacentral:lncRNA from 1 species